rnacentral:rRNA from 1 species
AUGGGAACGCGAAGAACCUUACCUAGACUUGACAUCUCCUGAAUAGUGUAGAGAUACAUGAAGCCCUUCGGGGCAGGAAGACAGGUGGUGCAUGGUUGUCGUCAGCUCGUGUCGUGAGAUGUUGGGUUAAGUCCCGCAACGAGCGCAACCCUUAUUACUAGUUGCUACCAUUAAGUUGAGCACUCUAGUGAGACUGCCCGGGGUUAACCGGGAGGAAGGCGGGGAUGACGUCAAAUCAUCAUGCCCCUUAUGUCUAGGGCAACACACGUGCUACAAUGGUGAGCACAGAUAGAUGCGAUACCGCAAGGUGGAGCCAAACUCUAAAACUCAUCCCAGUUCGGAUUGUAGGCUGCAACUCGCCUACAUGAAGUUGGAGUUGCUAGUAAUCGCGAAUCAGAAUGUCGCGGUGAAUACGUUCCCGGGUC